rnacentral:rRNA from 1 species
CAGGACGAUCGCUGGCGGCGUGCUUAACAGAUGCAAGUCGAACGCUGAUGCCUGGUGCUUGCACCGGGUGGAUGAGUGGCGAACGGGUGAGUUAUACGUGAGUGACCUGCCUUUGACUCUGGGAUAAGCCUGGGAAUCUGGGUCUAAUAGCGGAUGCGACUACUGGCCGCAUGGGCUGGUGGAAAGGGUUAUGUACUGGUCUUAGAUGGGCUCACGGCCUAUCAGCUGGUUGGUGGGGUAUUGGCCUACCAAGGCGACGACGGGUAGCCGGCCUGAGAGGGUGACCGGCCACACUGGGACUGAGACACGGCCCAGACUCCUACGGGAGGCAGCAGUGGGGAAUAUUGCACAAUGGGCGCAAGCCUGAUGCAGCGACGCGGCGUCAGGGAUGACGGCCUUCGGGUUGUAAACCUCUUUCAGGAGGGAAGAAGCGGAAGUGACGGUACCUGCAGAAGAUGCGCCGGCUAACUACGUGCCAGCAGCCGCGGUAAUUCGUAGGGCGCAAGCGUUGUCCGGAAUUAUUGGGCGUAAAGAGCUCGUAGGCGGCUUGUCGCGUCUGCUGUGAAAGCCCGGGGCUUAACUCCGGGUGUGCAGUGGGUACGGGCAGGCUAGAGUGCAGUAGGGGUAACUGGAAUUCCUGGUGUAGCGGUGAAAUGCGCAGAUAUCAGGAGGAACACCGAUGGCGAAGGCAGGUUACUGGGCUGUUACUGACGCUGAGGAGCGAAAGCAUGGGGAGCGAACAGGAUUAGAUACCCUGGUAGUCCAUGCCGUAAACGUUGGGCACUAGGUGUGGGGGACAUUCCACGUUUUCCGCGCCGUAGCUAACGCGUUAAGUUCCCCGCCGGGGGAGUACGGUCGCAAGACUGAAACUCAAUGGAAUUGACGGGGGCCCGCACAAGCGGUGGAGUAUGUGGAUUAUUUCGAUGCAACGCGAAAAACCUUACCAGGGCUUGACAUGCACCGGAUCUUUCCAGAGAUGGAUUCGUCCCUUCGGGAACCGUGACACAGGUGGUGCAUGGCUGUCGUCAGCUCGUGUCGUGAGAUGUUGGGUUAAGUCCCGCAACGAGCGCAACCCUUGUCCUAUGUUGCCAGCACGUAAUGGUGGGAACUCAUAGGAGACUGCCGGUGUCAAACCGGAGGAAGGUGGGGAUGACGUCAAGUCAUCAUGCCCCUUACGGCCAGGGCUUCACACGUACUACAAUGGUCGGGACAGAGGGCUGCAAGCCGGCGACGGUGGAGCCAAUCCCAGAAACCCGAUCCCAGUCCGGAUCGGAGUCUGCAACUCGACUCCGUGAAGUCGGAAUCGCUAGUAAUCGCGGAUCAGCAAUGCCGCGGUGAAUACGUUCGCGGGCCUUGUA